GGACAUAACACACCAGAAUACCCAUCAAAUGAUUUAAUUGCAAUGCGCUUGGAAGAAAGAUCUAAGCAAAAUAUUGAAUGAUAAUCUUUCAUGGGGAUUGAGAAUAAAUAAUGCCUAUUCGGCUUCUAUUAAAAUUUAAACCCAAAACUUUAAAGGCCUGGGACGACAUUGGCACUCCUUAGCUUCCAUAGAUAAGCAGUACAUAUAGCUGGCACAAAAAUAUCCUACUUGGAAAUUUUUUUCAACAUUUCUAAGAGAUUUAAGAAAAGAGUGGUACUUGAUUCAGAUAAGCAAGAAAAAAGAGAGAAAACAUGCCUAAAAGUACAAAUAUUUUUGCAAUAUAUAUAACAAAUCCUGCAAAAAUGUUUAUAUGAAACAAAACCCAAAUGCAAUCCUCAAACCAUGAACUCUUCAAAUUUCAACCUGCAUCUCACAAAAUCGAAAGGAAUAUUAAUAUUCGGUAGGUGUUAAUAACGCACGAAAAAAAAAGUUUUUCAGUUUGGUGAACUACAAAAGCACCUGUUUUUUGCAGACUUGGAUGAAACUGCUGAUCAAAAGGACUGAAGCUGGCACCCAAUACUCAGUAUCAGAAAACUGUUGAGAUCCCCAAUUCAUUUCACUCAAUUUCUUAGUCCACAGACAAGGAGAAACUGUGGGAGAUAAUUGAGUCCUUUUACUAAGUCACCUUUUCCAUCAGAAACUCAUCAUAGUUUUUUUUAAUGUCUUGAUCCUUGAGAAUCCUCAUCAGGAUUUUGCUGCUGUUGUUGAUGAUUGAAGGAAUUAAGGCUGCUGCGGCUCUGUCCCAUCUGCUGGUAGAAUUGGCUUAAAGCCUGAGAAUUAAACACCCCGGUAUGCCCAUCCUGAGAAAGCCCAAGCUCUAAACCUGGAACUUGCAGAUUAGUACCAUUAAACAUGGAGUAAAAACUCAUCAAACCCAUGUUAAUAUUUGGAAAUUCUACACCAUGGAACCCAAAUUUUGGCAAAGUAUUGGAGUUUUCAUUUCCUAAAUUGGGUGUUGACUGGCUUGCAUUUGAAAUAAAACCUGCCCCAAUUCCACCCACUGAGGGCCACAUCCCACUUGCUACGUUAGAUCUUCCCAAGUUACUACUCAUCAUUGUCCAAUUGGCCCUUUCUCUGGACCCAAUGCUCGGUCCCAGUCCUUCCAUCUUUGUAUGCAAUCCUGAAGAAACAGAGAUUCCAUGUUGAGAAACAGAAGCCCCUGCAGCUGCAAGAGUCGAGGAAGGAAUCGUCCCAGUACCAGUUACAGCAAUAAUCGAUGGUUCAGCUUGCUGUAAGAGCCAUUGAAUUGUUUCUCCAUCGGAUUUAUGACCCAAUUCUCUUGUC
rnacentral:misc_RNA from 1 species